GGGGUUAUAGCUCAGUUGUAGAGCACUUGCCUAGUAUGAGUGAGGCACUGGGUUCAAUCCCCAGUACCACA
rnacentral:tRNA from 1 species